rnacentral:rRNA from 1 species
CCUACGGGAGGCAGCAGUGGGGAAUAUUGGGCAAUGGAGGAAACUCUGACCCAGCAACGCCGCGUGAAUGAUGAAGGUCUUCGGAUUGUAAAGUUCUUUUCUAAGGGAAGCAGAAAGUGACGGUACCUUAGGAAUAAGCCUCGGCUAACUACGUGCCAGCAGCCGCGGUAAUACGUGGGAGGCAAGCGUUAUUCGGAAUGACUGGGCGUAAAGGGUGCGUAGGUGGUUUGACAAGUUGGUAGCGUAACUCCGAGGCUUAACCUCGGCACUACCACCAAAACUGUUGGACUCGAGUGCAGGAGAGGCAAAUGGAAUUCCUAGUGUAGCGGUGGAAUGCGUAGAUAUUAGGAGGAACACCAGUGGCGAAGGCGAUUUGCUGGACUGUAACUGACACUGAGGCACGAAAGCGUGGGGAGCAAACAGGAUUAGAUACCCUUGUAGUC